rnacentral:rRNA from 1 species
UACGUAGGCAGGGAGCGUUGUUCGGAGUUACUGGGCGUAAAGGGUGUGUAGGCGGUUCUCUAAGUUUGGUGUGAAAUCUCCCGGCUCAACUGAGAGGGUGCGCCGAAAACUGGAGGGCUAGAGUACGGGAUGGGAGAGUAGAAUUCCUGGUGUAGCGGUGAAAUGCGUAGAUAUCAGGAGGAAUACCGGUGGUGUAGACGGCUCUCUGGACCGUAACUGACGCUGAGACACGAAAGCGUGGGUAGCAAACAGG